rnacentral:misc_RNA from 1 species
GAAAUGCGAUAAGUAAUGUGAAUUGCAGAAUUCAGUGAAUCAUCGAAUCUUUGAACACACAUUGCGCCCGCCAGCACUCUGGCGGGCAUGCCUGUUCGAGCGUCAUUUCAACCCUCAGAACCCCUUGCGGGAUCUGGCGUUGGGGAUUGGCAUCCAGCCAGCCCCGAAAUCUAGUGGCGGUCCCUCCGCGACCUCCCCUGUGCAGUAGCGAUACCUCGCAGCGGGACAGCGGUCUGACCACGCCGUAAAACCCCCAACUUCUCAAGGUUGACCUCGAAUCAGGUAGGAAUACCCGCUGAACGUAAGCA